UACAUAUAUUAACUAUCUGGGUCGCUCUAGGUUUCCGGCCUCGCCGUCCAAUCGGCCACUCAGGCACCGCUCUCCGGCGACCACGAGCGCCGGCAGCGGAACCCUCAACGGGCCAGACUCGCGUGGAGACCAUCUACCGCGUCGCCCAGUGCCGCAUCGACACCUCGCCCCCCUGCUCCUACCGCCCCUCAAGCUCGGCAUCUGGAACUGGUACCUGUCGGCGGAGAAGAGCAGGUCGGCGUGCGCCUCUUCCCGGAUCCCGGCCGGCUGGCAAAGGAGCAGCCGCCGCUCGCCCGCUUCUUGCUCCGCGUCUCCUAGGCCGGCCCGCCCCGUCGCUCCACCAUCUCCCUAGGUCUGCAGCUUCUUCUUGGCCUAAGUGCUGCUGGAAGGUAAGAGUUUACUACGAGGGAGGUGUGAUGUCUCUCUGGGACAGGCUGUACGGUUCCGGGGGAUUGCCUCCAUCUACAAAAGCCACGCCACUACCUGAUUCUGAUCUACGCCGCUGCAGCAGACUUGUCAGGCCUCUGUGUUCCCUUUCUCUUGAGGUUCCUGGACUGCACGGCUGCAACGGCACACAGCGUCGGCCCCGACCGCUGGUACUGCGUCUGGGUUAUUUCAACGGUGUCCUAUGGGCUGCCGGUGUUGUUGCUCUUCGCCAACACACUCCAGUACGAAUACUGUCAUACUGAUGUUGUCGUUUUGGUGCAUCCAGCCAUCCAUGCCGUUUGGAUCUUGGCCUCGUUCCAUGAUCCGGCUUUGAUGUUUCUUUUCCUCACGAUGCAAGCCAGGUUACCUUCUGAUUAUGCACAAUAAUAGCUGACGGGGUCCUUCCUACGUAUUAAUCACUGGCUCCAUUUUAGCAGCUGCUGCCAGGAACUAAAUAUGCAGGUGGUGUGGUCAAUCACCAUUUGGUGUUCCUUUUCAUGUGCUCCAGUUUCUGAUGCAUAUUUAUCUCAAUUAUGGUUUAAUUCUUCCAUUUUGUGAUUUCAGUCUUAGCUCUUAUUGUGUAUUAAUUAAUUUGUUAUAUGUAGAGGAUGCGGAAAUGCAUUUCUGACCUUAGGUGCAUAUGGUCCCUUUAUCUAAAAUAUGUCUCGAGAGAUGCCUUAUUUUUGCACUAAAAUUUGUCCUUUUACACGGACUGAAUAGAAGGUUUAUUUUUUGGCUAAAAAACUUUAUUAGCACGUAGGAUGUAGAAAUAUACAUGCGACAAUUUAUUCUGCAUUUUUUGACAUUUUAAAUAUGUGUAAAAUGUAUCUUAAAAUGGAGCAUAUGUACAUGGGAGCAAAAACACCACGUCCCAGACGAUGGGUGUUUUGAUGUAAAUUAAUUAAGGUGGUGGUUUAGGCUUUAUUUGUUGGCUGUUCAGUCAAUUGUUGAGUACAACAUAUGUUGGCUGGGCGUGGUCUGGGAAAAGAUCGACGUGCCUAAAACAAUACAAUCAUGUGUAUUUAAGUUCCAUUUUCGUACACGCAUGCUUAGUGCUAAUUUGUUUUUUAGUACUGCCGAUCUGCAGUUAAGAAGAAAAACCAAAUCAUAAUAUUCUUAUAGUUCAUUUAUAGGAUGGCCACCUGACAUGUAUAGCUUCUCUACGUGGGACAUGGGAGAUAGGUACACCGCUAUAACUAUUUCGUAUAAUACCAUUUCAUUUUUUUUUUCUUGUGGGCAUUACGUAGAGAACUUUGUUGUGCAAGUUGGUGGACGCUGUCCUUGGCAACAAAUGGAGGACACAGCGGAGGUUGGAACGAAACCAACCAUAGGAGCAUGAACGAUUACUUAAUUGCUGAAGCUUAGUGCAGUUUUCUACAAAUACGUGAAAAAGUAUUGCCAUGCUUUAAACCAACGCUUAACUGUGACUAUAUAUGGGGAUCCAUCUUGGAGUCUUCCAAUGUUACUGCAUCGCAAAGGAAUCAACAAAAGAAUCUGUGAUAGUGUUUUUUCUCUGAGUGACCAUUUGUUACAUAUUCUUCUUGACAAAUUAACUGCAAUUGUGCUCUAGAACAGAUUGUUCCAGGAAUGCUAGCCUUUAUAAGUACAUGUCUCAGAUGGUACUUCAACGUCCAACCAAAGAUGGCAGUGAUUCAGCGAGGAGCAUUCUUGAAGGACUUUGUCAAGGAUGAGGCGCUUCAGAACGGUAACAACAAUAUUGUCUUGGUAGAGGAGCAUGUAAACAAUGAUGUAUUUGCUUCUUUUAGUCAACACAUGUCAUUUUCCUCUGAGCUUAGUGGAAUUCUAGACAUUGCUCAGCUUUCAAAAAAUCAGUAUUCCUGUAACCUGCUUGAUUUAUUUUUAUUCAGUUAGAAUACAAAAUAUAAUUUUCCUACUCUCA